GCCGGAUUGGCGGAAUGGCAGACGCGAAGCACUCAAAAUGCUUUGUCCGGAAGGGCGUGUGGGUUCAAGUCCCACAUCCGGCAC
rnacentral:tRNA from 1 species